rnacentral:precursor_RNA from 1 species
AUGGAGGACAGCUCAAAUUGAUUGAGGGAACAAGCAAUUUAGGGGGUAAGACGGACUGGGAUUUAGCAAGUUUGGGUUGGGUUUUGUUUGGAGACUAUCAAUUUUAUAAUGUUAUAAUUACGGCUCAUGGGCUAAUAAUGAUUUUUGCAUUUGUAAUGCCUAUUAUUUUAGGAGGGUUUGCGAAUUAUUUUACACCUAUGAUGUGUGGUUUUCCAGAUUUAAUCUUUCCUAGAUUAAAUAAUAUAAGUUUUUGAAUUUUUUUUUUAGGAGGUGUACUAUUAUUAUGUGGAUUUAUUUCAGAAGAAGGUAUGGGAGUAGGUUGAACAUUAUAUCCAACACUAAUUUGUUAUGAUUUUCAUUCUAGUUUAUCUUGUGAUUUUGUAGUAUUUUCAGUUCAUUUUUUAGGUAUAUCUAGUAUUUUAAAUUCUUUAAAUUUAGUAGGUACACUAUUUGUAUGUAGAAGAAAGUAUUUUAGUUUUGUAUUUUGGGUUUUGUUUAUAUGGGGAUUGUUUUUAACUUGUAUUUUAUUAAUUAUCACUUUGCCAAUUUUAGCAGGAGGUGUAACAAUGAUAUUUUUAGAUAGAAAUUUUAAUACUUCUUUUUUUGAUAUAAUUGGAGGGGGGGACCUUAUAUUAUUUCAACAUUUAUUUUGAUUUUUUGGGCAUCCAGAAGUAUAUAUAAUAAUUUUGCCUAUAUUUGGAUUAGUAUCCACGUUUAUAGAUAUAAUAGGUUUAAGAGGUGUUUUUAGUUUUGUAACUAUGAUAUAUUCUAUGUUAUGUAUAUGUGUUAUUGGGUUUUUUGUAUGGGCACACCAUAUGUUUGUUAUAGGUAUGGAUAUAGAUUCUAGGGCAUAUUUUGGAAGUCUAUCACUAUUGAUUGGCCUUCCUACAUGUAUAAAAAUAUUUAAUUGAUUUUAUAGUUUUUUGUUUUAUGAUCUAUUGUUGUUAAUAGAAGCCUAUUUUGUAGUAAUUUUUAUAUUUAUGUUUUUAUUUGGAGGCAUUACAGGUUUAUUGUUAGCUAAUGUAGGACUAGAUGUAUUAUUACAUGAUACGUAUUUUGUAGUUGCACAUUUUCAUUAUGUAUUAUCUUUAGGCGCGGUUAUAGGAGUAUUUGGGGGAGUUUUUCAUUUUUGUUGAAAAUGAAUACCUUUAGAAUUUUUUAUAUUUUUAGUCUAUUAUAAUCUUAUAGUAUUGUUUUUAGGUUCAAACAUUCUAUUUUACCCUUUACAUAGUUUAGGAUUAUACUCUUUUCCAAGAAGAAUUUCUGAUUAUCCAAUAUUUUUGUAUUUAAGAAUUGUUGGGGAUAAUGUUGAGGGGGGAUUUUGUGGAGUUUUUUGAGAGGGGGAAGGGAAGGAGACCUAAUGUGGAAAAGAGGAGCCCAAAAUAGAGAGUUUUUGGUGGGGGGAGAGAGAAAGAGGUGUUUUUUGUAUUUAAAAAUAUUUAA